GGGCCUAUAGCUCAGUUGGUUAGAGCAACGGACUCAUAAUCCGUCGGUCGUAGGUUCGAGUCCUACUGGGCCCA
rnacentral:tRNA from 1 species